rnacentral:rRNA from 1 species
CAGCCGCCCGGUAAUACAGAGGGUGCGAGCGUUAAUCGGAUUUACUGGGCGUAAAGCGUGCGUAGGCGGCUUUUUAAGUCGGAUGUGAAAUCCCUGAGCUUAACUUAGGAAUUGCAUUCGAUACUGGGAAGCUAGAGUAUGGGAGAGGAUGGUAGAAUUCCAGGUGUAGCGGUGAAAUGCGUAGAGAUCUGGAGGAAUACCGAUGGCGAAGGCAGCCAUCUGGCCUAAUACUGACGCUGAGGUACGAAAGCAUGGGGAGCAAACAGGAUUAGAUACCCGUGUAGUCCCUGUCUCUUAUACA